rnacentral:tRNA from 1 species
CAGAUAAUAGUUUAUUUAAAAUAUUAGUUUUGGAUAUUAAAGAUGGUAUAAUAUUUACUUUAUCUGA